rnacentral:lncRNA from 1 species
UUUUUUUUUUUGUCAAAACCCAAUUGCCCCAAUUGCUUUUGUAUCCAUAUAAAUCCAUACGAAGAAUAUAAGCUAGUAUCUAGCAUUUCAUUUAGGUCAGUAUACUGGCUAGCUGGAUGCAUUUGACUGUCAGCAAACUUGGAACUACUACAUGCAGCAGCACUGGUUAAACAUGCGAAAACUAAAAUACUCCCUCUAUAUUGGUUGUAAUAAGGGCAUCUCCAACAUUGACCCCCAAAACGGACACUGCACGGUCGCAUCCGUGGAUAGUGAUAUGAAAACCGGCCAUCCAACCAUAGCCGCAUACAUUUUAAACCGGAUUUCAACAAACCAGACGAAUCACGGCGGGAGAGGUUGUACCGCUGCUCCUUAUGCACCUGCCGGAAUACCGAGAAUGGUUGCGGCGUUGGCUGCUCCUGCGCCAUGGCAUCAUUGAAAUGAGCAUGUGCAUGUUCCAUGGUGAAGCCGGCAUGGGACAGCCCGGGCUGGAGCACCGGCUCACGUCGGAGCCCUUCUCCAUCGUCUGGUUGUCAUCAGAGACCUCAAGGGAGUUGGCCGGCAAGUCGUCCUCAAUCUGCCUAGCACGGUGGCCCUGCCAUCCAAUGCAAGGGCGGCCAACUCGUUGUUCGGCUCCGUCGAGAGGCUCCCCCACAACGCGCUAGAGUUCGCGGUCAUGGCGGAGGUGGAGUAUGGAGGAGGAUGUGAAGUGGGCCCUAGUGUGGUGCAGUUUGUGUCGGGCGUGGCCUCGUUAAAAUAGUGGAUGACGGCCAGGCUCAACAACGGAGUGUGUCAUUGUGAGCGCCGGAGUAGGUUUCUCGGUCGGCGAGCCUGUUUAAUGAUGGCAGACAGACAUGUGGCCAACCCGUUUGAAUGCGGUAGAUAUCCGUCUCACCCCGUCUAGUAUUUAACAGGCGCGGACACCGGGAUGCGGUGUUGGCGGCGCUCUGGGCCGGCGCGCCGCUACAGUGUUGGCACUAGUUAGAGGUCAAGUCCGCUCUGGGCCGACAUGAAUGUGGCGAUGGCACUCUGGAAAGGCAUGAAUGCGCGACAAAUGCUUCGCCCGGUAGAGGGUGCGGCGAGGGAGAGGGUUUUGGUGGGUCCGGGGUGUCGCACCUGUGCGUGGUAGAGGUGCGAACGCUCGUAAAGCGCCCUAGUUUGCCUCCAGUUUGCGGGAAAACGAACAUUUAGACCGGUCCGCAGACCGACGGGGGUGGUCAGCCCGUUUGAAUGCGGUAGAUAUCCGUCUCGUCCCAUCUAGUAAUGUCUCUCGGCAUUUAACAGGUGCGGACACUAGGAUGCGGCGCGGGCGGCGCUCUGGGCUAGCGCGUUGCUUUAGUGUCGACACUAGUUAAAGGUCACGUCUGCUCUGGGCUGACAUGAAUGCGACGCUAGCACUCUGGAACGACAUGAAUGCGCGGCAAAUUCUUCGCUUGGUAGAGGGCGCGGACGAGGGAGAGGGUUUUGGGUGAGUCCGGGGUGUCGCACGCGUGCGUGGCAGAGGUCCGAACGCCCGUAAAGCACCCUGGUUUGCCUUGAAUUUGCGGGAAAACGGAUGUCCAGACAGGCCCGUAGACCAACGGCAAAACACGUCCACACUGCCCGGUCCGAACAGAUAAGGUUCGGAUUGUCCGGUCCGCACAAAUGCGGACGGUUUGAGGAUCAUCAUUAGAGAUGCCCUAACAUCUUAUAUUAGAGAACGGAGUGAGUACUCAAAACACUUAUUGUCUUUUAUCCGGUGCAUUCAUUUAAUAAACUAUCGGCACAAUUCCUUUGUAUCCUUCCAAAGAAGGAAACAUAAAUGAAUGAUGUAGUACAACAAGGCACAACUAUUUAAUUCACCAAUUUAUACACCGUGAAACUACUAUUGGCAUCAUCUUCAAGCGCAAUUGGAGUAGUCGAAUGGAUAUGCACCUCACUACUGAAUUACAGAUAAACUAGGGUUUCUUUUGCCUACUUUCCAAUGCAAACUUAGCCUUCUUAAUCCUAUGCCUUCAGUCCAGAACCAACGGGGAUCAUAUCACGCACCGUACCAGAUCAAAUGAGGCGAGGACAGCCAACGGCUAGAUGAAGGCGAGCAACCAAAGUGAUGCAGUUACCUCAGUUACUGUUCACCCCCCAAAAAAAUUACUGUUCAAUUUCUUUUACCGAAUUACUGUUUAACGUUCUCUUAUCACUGCUGUAAUUUGAACUGGCUAUACAAGCAGAUGUCCUGGAAAUGAGAAGAAUAAGGGAAAACAAUUAUCUCUAUGUCAUCUGGAGUCAACACCAAAGAUAACUGAAGGUCCUUUUUCAUAAUCUGAAAUAACGCAAGAAGGUUAACAUUGGGAACAGGUGUAUAUUGUCAAUUCUGAUGGUAGAAAGAUCCCUAGCCUGCUGGGCCGCAAUGAUACAUCACCACACAACAAGGCAUGUAAAAGCAUCACUCGCUGGGUUGCUUAGCGGUCAGCCCCUUCAUGCGUAUUGCGUAGCAUCAAAACCUCCGAACCGGCACACUCACUUAUUGAGUUACUGCUUAU